UCAGCGACUUAUAUUUAGUAGCAAGGUUAAGUGAAUAACGGAGCCGUAGCGAAAGCGAGUGUUAACUGCGCGUUUAGUUGCUAGGUAUAGACCCGAAACCCGGUGAUCUAGCCAUGAGCAGGUUGAAGGUUGAGUAACAUCAACUGGAGGACCGAACCCACUAACGUUGAAAAGUUAGGGGAUGACUUGUGGCUGGGGGUGAAAGGCCAAUCAAACCGGGAGAUAGCUGGUUCUCCCCGAAAUCUAUUUAGGUAGAGCCUCGGACGAAUUCCAUUGGGGGUAGAGCACUGUUAAGGCUAGGGGGUCAUCC
rnacentral:rRNA from 13 species